rnacentral:sRNA from 1 species
GCUGGGCAUAGUGGUGCAUGCCUGUAGUCCCAGGAGUUUGGGAGGCUAAGGCAGGAGGAUUGCGAGUUCAAAGCCAGCCUCAGCAAAAGGGAGGCCCUAGGCAGCUCAGUGAGACCCUGUCUCUA